rnacentral:rRNA from 1 species
UACGAAGGGGGCUAGCGUUGCUCGGAAUCACUGGGCGUAAAGGGUGCGUAGGCGGGUCUUUAAGUCAGGGGGUGAAAUCCUGGAGCUCAACUCCAGAACUGCCUUUGAUACUGGGGAUCUCGAGUCCGGAAGAGGUGAGUGGAACUCCGAGUGUAGAGGUGAAAUUCGUAGAUAUUCGGAAGAAACACCAGUGGCGAAGGCGGCUCACUGGUCCGGUACUGACGCUGAGGUGCGAAAGCGUGGGGAGCAAACAGG